AGCCUUCCAGUAUCUAAAGCCAUUUAAGAGCGACAUAUAUGCAGCCAAAAAUCAAUAUGUUUAUUUUUAUGAGAACUGGUUGUCAAAUAUUUGAGCAAGUUUCUUAUCUGUCUGUGUGACACUCUUUCACAGAACCAGAAGGCUGAAGGUUCAGAAUCUGGUGAUAUGCCGGAACCCAAGGUCAUUCGCCAAUUUCCCCAAAACCGGCCAGUUGCCGAUAGUAGUGUUCAAAGUAAACCAAGGCUCUCAAAAGACAUUUUGGCAGGGGUAUUUAGCGGCGGUUCGAAAUGAUUUUUGUAGCUAGCUAUUUUGGAAGAAAAUUAUCUCUAACAAUUUUGAGGAGGAAGCAUUGUUGUUGCAUGGAUAAGCGUUUUGAUUGCAUCUGAGAGGCUUUCGUUGGAAUUCCAUAAUCUUAUCUGCUGCUGUGCACAAAUAGUUUUAAUUUCUUUUAAUUAGUGAUUUCUGCUUAUGAGCAAUCUUCAGAAAUUGGAGAUUUCAGCAAUCCAUGGUCAUCUCAAUGACAUUUGUGUCAAUAGUGGCAGCAUUGAGAUGAUGAGAAAAUGUAAUACCCCAAAGAUUGGGUAAAAUGAACUUUUCGAUGUAUGGUUUGUGCUAUCAUUGAAGUGAACUUGUUGAGAUAACCAAGCCCAUUAUCUCUGUGCUUUUUUUCAAAUGAAACAGUUUUGAAUUAAA